AUUGAAACACCAGCUCUCAUUUGAUCACCAAAGUUAAGCAACAUCAAGCCUGGUCAGUAUCUAGAUGGGUAACCAUUUGAGAAUACCUGGUUCUGUAAG